rnacentral:rRNA from 1 species
GACGAACGAGGGAGGGGGGAGGACCAAAGGCAAGUCGAACUGAAAGGCCCUGCUUUUGUGGGGUGCUCGAGUGGCGAACGGGUGAGUAACACGUGAGUAACCUGCCCUUGACUUUGGGAUAACUUCAGGAAACUGGGGCUAAUACCGGAUAGGAGCUCCUGCUGCAUGGUGGGGGUUGGAAAGUUUCGGCGGUUGGGGAUGGACUCGCGGCUUAUCGGCUUGUUGGUGGGGUAGUGGCUUACCAAGGCUUUGAGGGGUAGCCGGCCUGAGAGGGUGACCGGCCACAUUGGGACUGAGAUACGGCCCAGACUCCUACGGGAGGCAGCAGUGGGGAAUAUUGCACAAUGGGCGGAAGCCUGAUGCAGCAACGCCGCGUGCGGGAGUCCGGCCUUCGGGUUGUAAACCGCUUUCGCCUGUGACGAAGCGUGAGUGACGGUAAUGGGUAAAGAAGCACCGGCUACCUACGUU